UUCAAGAUUAUGUGGUAGGUGGUGCAUGGCCGUUCUUAGUUCGUGAAGUGAUUCGUUCGCCCAAUCGCAUUUCCAAACAACUAACAACUCAGAAUGCUGGGCAAUAGGACGUUUAAAGUGGCUCCUUACACCUUACAAAGGAAUGGCUGAUGAGAAACAACUCGAUCCGCUCAGCGUUCUAUUGGAAUGCAACGGACGUGAUUGCAAGCUUUUGUUUUGAGUUGCGGUUUUACUGAAAGACUCUACAAUCCGCAAACUUC
rnacentral:rRNA from 1 species